AAAUUGAAGAGUUUGAUCAUGGCUCAGAUUGAACGCUGGCGGCAGGCCUAACACAUGCAAGUCGAGCGGUAGCACAGAGAGCUUGCUCUCGGGUGACGAGCGGCGGACGGGUGAGUAAUGUCUGGGAAACUGCCUGAUGGAGGGGGAUAACUACUGGAAACGGUAGCUAAUACCGCAUAAUGUCGCAAGACCAAAGUGGGGGACCUUCGGGCCUCAUGCCAUCAGAUGUGCCCAGAUGGGAUUAGCUAGUAGGUGGGGUAACGGCUCACCUAGGCGACGAUCCCUAGCUGGUCUGAGAGGAUGACCAGCCACACUGGAACUGAGACACGGUCCAGACUCCUACGGGAGGCAGCAGUGGGGAAUAUUGCACAAUGGGCGCAAGCCUGAUGCAGCCAUGCCGCGUGUGUGAAGAAGGCCUUCGGGUUGUAAAGCACUUUCAGCGGGGAGGAAGGCG
rnacentral:rRNA from 7 species